UGGCGAACGGGUGAGUAAUAUAUCGGAACGUGCCCAGUAGUGGGGGAUAGCCCGGCGAAAGCCGGAUUAAUACCGCAUACGACCUAAGGGUGAAAGGGGGGGAUCGCAAGACCUCUCGCUAUUGGAGCGGCCGAUAUCAGAUUAGGUAGUUGGUGGGGUAAAAGCCUACCAAGCCAACGAUCUGUAGCUGGUCUGAGAGGACGACCAGCCACACUGGGACUGAGACACGGCCCAGACUCCUACGGGAGGCAGCAGUGGGGAAUUUUGGACAAUGGGCGCAAGCCUGAUCCAGCCAUGCCGCGUGCGGGAAGAAGGCCUUCGGGUUGUAAACCGCUUUUGUCAGGGAAGAAACGCCUUGGGUUAAUACUCUAGGGUAAUGACGGUACCUGAAGAAUAAGCACCGGCUAACUACGUGCCAGCAGCCGCGGUAAUACGUAGGGUGCAAGCGUUAAUCGGAAUUACUGGGCGUAAAGCGUGCGCAGGCGGCUGUGCAAGACAGAUGUGAAAUCCCCGGGCUCAACCUGGGAACUGCAUUUGUGAC
rnacentral:rRNA from 1 species